UCGGACGGUAACAUUCCCUUCGGGGAGAUGACGAGUGGCGCACGGGUGCGUAACGCGUAUGCAAUCUGCCUCGUACUGGGGUAUAGCCCAGGGAAACUUGGAUUAAUCCCCCAUGGCAUGUAAGCGUGGCAUCACGUUUACAUUAAAGGUCACGGUACGAGAUGAGCAUGCGUCCUAUUAGCUAGUUGGUGCGGUAACGGCGCACCAAGGCGACGAUAGGUAGGGGCCCUGAGAGGGGGAUCCCCCACACUGGUACUGAGACACGGACCAGACUCCUACGGGAGGCAGCAGUGAGGAAUAUUGGACAAUGGGCGAGAGCCUGAUCCAGCCAUGCCGCGUGCAGGAAGACAGCCCUAUGGGUCGUAAACUGCUUUUGUACGGGAAGAAACACCCCCUUGCGAGGGGGCUUGACGGUACCGUAAGAAUAAGGAUCGGCUAACUCCGUGCCAGCAGCCGCGGUAAUACGGAGGAUCCGAGCGUUAUCCGGAAUCAUUGGGUUUAAAGGGUCCGUAGGUGGGCCGUUAAGUCAGGGGUGAAAUCCCGCAGCUCAACUGUGGAAUUGCCUUUGAUACUGGCGGUCUUGAGUCGUUGUGAAGUAGCUGGAAU
rnacentral:rRNA from 1 species